GGCUUGCUCCCUCCCUGGCGAGCGGCGGACGGGUGAGUAAUGCAUAGGAAUCUGCCCGGUAGUGGGGGAUAACCUGGGGAAACCCAGGCUAAUACCGCAUACGUCCUACGGGAGAAAGCAGGGGCUUCUUCGGACCUUGCGCUAUCGGAUGAGCCUAUGUCGGAUUAGCUGGUUGGUGAGGUAAUGGCUCACCAAGGCGACGAUCCGUAGCUGGUCUGAGAGGAUGAUCAGCCACAUCGGGACUGAGACACGGCCCGAACUCCUACGGGAGGCAGCAGUGGGGAAUAUUGGACAAUGGGCGCAAGCCUGAUCCAGCCAUGCCGCGUGUGUGAAGAAGGCCCUCGGGUUGGUAAAGCACUUUCAGUGGGGAAGAACGCCUUCCGGUUAAUACCCGGGAGGGAAGACAUCACCCACAGAAGAAGCACCGGCUAACUCCGUGCCAGCAGCCGCGGUAAUACGGAGGGUGCGAGCGUUAAUCGGAAUUACUGGGCGUAAAGCGCGCGUAGGCGGCUUGAUAAGCCGGUUGUGAAAGCCCCGGGCUCAACCUGGGAACGGCAUCCGGAACUGUCAGGCUAGAGUGCAGGAGAGGAAGGUAGAAUUCCCGGUGUAGCGGUGAAAUGCGUAGAGA
rnacentral:rRNA from 1 species